UUGACCUCAAAUCAGGUAGGACUACCCGCUGAACUUAAGCAUAUCAAUAAGCGGAGGAAAAGAAACUAACAAGGAUUCCCCUAGUAACUGCGAGUGAAGCGGGAAAAGCUCAAAUUUAAAAUCUGGCGGUUCUUGACUGUCCGAGUUGUAAUCUAGAGAAGUGUUACCUGUGCUGGACCGUGUACAAGUCUCCUGGAAUGGAGCAUCAUAGAGGGUGAGAAUCCCGUCUUUGACAUGGACUGCCUGCAUGUUGUGGUGCGCUCUCGAAGAGUCGAGUUGUUUGGGAAUGCAGCUCAAAACGGGUGGUAAAUGCCAUCUAAAGCUAAAUAUUGGCGAGAGACCGAUAGCGAACAAGUACCGUGAGGGAAAGAUGAAAAGAACUUUGGAAAGAGAGUUAAACAGUACGUGAAAUUGCUGAAAGGGAAACGCUUGAAGUCAGUCGCGUUGGCUAGAAAUCAGCCUUGCUUUUGCUUGGUGUACUUUCUUGUCGACGGGUCAGCAUCAGUUUCGACCGCUGGAUAAGGACUUUGGGAAUGUGGCAUCUUUGGAUGUGUUAUAGCCCAUUGUCGCAUACGGUGGUGGGGAUUGAGGAACUCAGCACGCCGCAAGGCCGGGUCUCUGACCACGCUCGUGCUUAGGAUGCUGGCAUAAUGGCUUUAAUCGACCCGUC
rnacentral:rRNA from 1 species